CCCUUAGAUGUUCUGGGCGGCCCGCGCACUACAUUGGCACUCUCAAUAAGUUCCUAGAUCUAAAACUUUGGGGUAUUCUAUUAAGCGGUGUCGUGACUGGGAUUAACCCUUGCAAUUAUUGGUUACGAACGAGGAAUUCCUUGUAAUCGCGGUUUAUCAGCCCGCGUUGAAUGCGUCCCUGCCCUUUGUACACACCGCCCGUCGCUCCUACCGAUGAAUCGUCCGGUGAAGUUCAUGGAGUGGUGGUUGUUCCAGCUGCUGUCGAAGUGAAAUGGACCUCACGAUUUAGAGGAAGGAGAAGUCGUAACA
rnacentral:rRNA from 1 species